CGCGGUGGCUCAGCCCUGGUUGCCUAGGAGACAGGACAGCGGCAGCAUCCUCCUGCCUGCCCGCCGGCCUGUGUUUCCUUUGCUUCUUCACCCUGCUUUUUGUUUUAUUCCCUGGCCUGCCGCCCUUUUCUUCAUCUCGCAGAAGGGGCCCGCUCCGCACGGAGUAGCUGCGCGGCCUCCCAGCGCCUCAGGCCGCGAGAGGGACGGCGACGGUUCCCGUAGAAGGUUAAGAACCCACACCCGAGAGCAGACCUGCUCGGGGACCCGUCCCCUUCUGGCAACAAAGACACAAACAGGACUUCGAAGAGGAAAAAGGACAGGUUGCCCGGUGUUGAAAGGGGAGGCGGAAGACGCAGACUCUGGAGGAGGCGUCAUCGGCCAGCCCUGUAGAAUGGAAAGCCUAGCCUGCAAUAGAAUCAUCUGGACCUCAGCUGCCUUUCGCAAGGGAGUGACUUUAGUAGGUGAAAAUGCAACUGGACAAAGCGGGAGGCCAGGGGAGAGGAGAGGAACAUCAGAGACCCGCUUCUCUUGCAGUGUGUCUCAAGUCCGGAGGAAGAUCCCUCAGGGACAGAUAAGAAAGCCUUUCCUCCCCUAUGGAGCCCAGGACUGGGACAGUCAGGCUUCCAGAGCUGUCGCAAAAGGUAUUUUGUUGGCAGCCAGUGCUGAGUGAUUUUAGCUUGAGGGAAGGGCCCAUGGAGCUCAGAAACAGAAGGGACUUCCUCACACACUGGAGAAAAUGAGGAAGCAGUUUCUGAAAGCCACCAAGAACGCCUUCAAAUGUCACAGUCGUACCAACCUCAAGGGACCAUAGCACCGCAUAGCAGCAAAUCCUGACAGUUGAAUAUGCUGAUUUCCCAGACAACGUUAUGAUGAAAAUAUGUUAACAAAUUUGCAGAACCAGCAAUUUCACUUGUAGAAACUGAUGCCAAGAAACGCUUGGAUUAAUGUCCAUAUAGAUAAAACCUUGGAAAAAGUGGAGAUGUUGAAAACAAUCUAUAUUUCCAACAAUAAGAGGUAAAUUACUAUAUAUUUAUUGUUCAAAAAAUGUUCAUAAUAAAAGUAGUAUGUGGUAUAAAUCCAAUUUAUGUAAAAUAAACGUGUCCUUGGCUCCUCA